GAGUAGCAAUUGGAGGGCAAGUCUGGUGCCAGCAGCCGCGGUAAUUCCAGCUCCAAUAGCGUAUAUUAAACUUGUUGCAGUUAAAAAGCUCGUAGUUGUAUUUUUGCGUUGACGGUUUGACCAUUUGGUUGGUUAUUUCGUUUUCGCUUUUGGGAAUUUCCCUUUUUACUUUGAGAAAAUUAGAGUGUUUCAAGCAGACUUUUGUCUUGAAUACUUCAGCAUGGAAUAAUAGAGUAGGACUUUGGUUCUAUUUUGUUGGUUAUUGAACCUUAGUAAUGGUUAAUAGGAACGGUUGGGGGCAUUCGUAUUUAACUGUCAGAGGUGAAAUUCUUAGAUUUGUUAAAGACGAACUACUGCGAAAGCAUUUGCCAAGGACGUUUCCAUUAAUCAAGAACGAAAGUUAGGGGAUCGAAGACGAUCAGAUACCGUCGUAGUCCUAACCAUAAACUA
rnacentral:rRNA from 1 species